rnacentral:rRNA from 1 species
UACGAAGGGGGCAAGCGUUGUUCGGAAUUACUGGGCGUAAAGGGCGCGUAGGCGGCCUUGUUUGUCAGGCGUGAAAGCCCUGGGCUCAACCCAGGAAUUGCGCUUGGGACGGCAAGGCUUGAGUUCGGGAGAGGAGAGUGGAAUUCCCAGUGUAGAGGUGAAAUUCGUAGAUAUUGGGAAGAACACCGGUGGCGAAGGCGGCUCUCUGGACCGAUACUGACGCUGAGGCGCGAAAGCUAGGGGAGCAAACAGG